GUCCUUAGUUACAUCUGACACAAAGGUCUUUAGUUACAUCUGACACAAAGGUCCUUAGUUACAUCUGACACAAAGGUCCUUAGUUACAUCUGACACAAAGGUCCUUAGUUACAUCUGACACAAAGGUCCUUAGUUACAUCUGACACAAAGGUCCUUAGUUACAUCUGACAUAAAGGUCUUAGUUACAUCUGACACAAAGGUCCUUAGUUACAUCUGACACAAAGGUCCUUAGUUACAUCUGACACAAAGGUCUUUAGUUACAUCCGACACAAAC